rnacentral:rRNA from 1 species
UACGGGGGGAGCAAGCGUUGUUCGGAUUUACUGGGCGUAAAGGGCGCGUAGGCGGCCACUGCAAGUCAGUUGUGAAAUCUCCGGGCUUAACCCGGAAAGGUCAACUGAUACUGCAGGGCUAGAGUGCAGAAGGGGCAACUGGAAUUCUCGGUGUAGCGGUGAAAUGCGUAGAUAUCGAGAGGAACACCUGCGGCGAAGGCGGGUUGCUGGGCUGACACUGACGCUGAGGAGCGAAAGUGUGGGGAGCGAACAGG